rnacentral:rRNA from 1 species
UUUUCAGCCCUUUUGGGUGUAGUGAUUUGCUCUAGACGCUGCCGUCACAAGCUGUUGCGAAAUGGCUGUUAAGAUCCUCGUUUUUCGGGGGGGUGGCGGAGGAUGACGCGAUUCGACCCGUCUUGAAACACGGACCAAGGAGUCUAGCCUAGAUGCCGAGUCGUAGGGUGGUGAAACCUGAGGGCGCAUUGAAAGCGAAUGUGUCACGUAAAACUGGCCGUUUGAGGCGGCAUGUGAUUUUUAAUUGCAAGUCCGACCUAGAGCAUUUAUGCUAGGACCCGAAAGAUGGUGAACUAUACUGGCGUAGGGUGAAGCCAGAGGAAACUCUGGUGGAAGCUCGAAGCGCUGCUGACGUGCAAAUCGCUCGUCGAACGUGAGUAUAGGGGCGAAAAACUAAUCGAACCAUUUAGUAGCUGGUUUCCUCCGAAGUUUCUCUCAGGAUAGCAGGGCGAGUGUUCAAUGAUGUUGCUAUGUGCGGUAAAGCCAAUGAUUAGCGCAAGUGGGGAUAUUCUUGUCCCCUGGCGAUUCUCAAACUUUAAAUGCGCACGGUCGUUGCUGCUCCAAUGAGUGACGAUAGUUAGAACCUCGACUUUGUGGGCCACUUUUGGUAAGCAGAACUGGCGAUACGGGAUGAACCGUAAGUGGUGUUAAGGCGCCAAAUUGUUCGCUUAAUGAUCCCAAGAAAGGUGUUGGUUCAUAUAGACAGCAGGACGGUGGCCAUGGAAGUUGGAAUCCGCUAAGGAGUGUGUAACAACUCACCUGCCGAAUGAAUUAGCCCUGAAAAUGGAUGGCGCUGAAGCGAGCAGCCGACACAUCACCGUUUGAUAUAAUUCCGAUCAAAUGAGUAGGAGGGACGUAGUGGUCGUAUAGAAGCAUGCAAGCGAUUGUGUGUGGAACGGCCACUAGUGCAGAUCUUGGUGCUAGUAGCAAAUAUUCAAAUGAGAACCUUGAAGGGCGAAGCGGGGAAGGGUUCCACGCGAACAUUGAUUGAGCGUGGGUAAGUCGUACCUAAGUCAUGUGGCAAUAGCAAAUGUACUGGCGAAAGGGAAGCAGGUUGAUAUUCCUGCACACGGAUGUGGACGCGGUGACGCAUGUUUUGUGGUGAUGACGCUGUUGAUAGCACUGGGCAGAGAUUUCUUUUCUGUUUAACCAAUAUUUGUGUUCUGUGGAAUCCGCUUGUCGGUAGAAACAGGCACAUCUGGGCAGAGCGCCGAGAUUUUUUCGGCGUCCAGUAAGCUAUCGGUGGACCUUGAAAAAUCACUCACAGGGUAGAAUUGCUUGACUUUUCUGCUAAUAGACAACUCCACGCCGUUACGUACCGAUAUCCGCAUCAGGUCCCCAAGGUGAACAG